rnacentral:rRNA from 1 species
CCUACGGGCGGCUGCAGUGAGGAAUAUUGGUCAAUGGACGAGAGUCUGAACCAGCCAAGCAGCGUGAAGGAUGACUGCCCUAUGGGUUGUAAACUUCUUUUAUAUGGGAAUAAAACGUUCCACGUGUGGGCUUUUGUAUGUACCAUAUGAAUAAGGAUCGGCUAACUCCGUGCCAGCAGCCGCGGUAAUACGGAGGAUUCGAGCGUUAUCCGGAUUUAUUGGGUUUAAAGGGAGCGUAGGUGGAUUGUUAAGUCAGUUGUGAAAGUUUGCGGCUCAACCGUAAAAUUGCAGUUGAAACUGGCAGUCUUGAGUACAGUAGAGGUGGGCGGAAUUCGUGGUGUAGCGGUGAAAUGCUUAGAUAUCACGAAGAACUCCGAUUGCGAAGGCAGCUCACUGGACUGCAACUGACACUGAGGCUCGAAAGUGUGGGUAUCAAACAGGAUUAGAUACCCGGGUAGUC